rnacentral:rRNA from 1 species
UACGUAGGGGGCAAGCGUUGUCCGGAAUUAUUGGGCGUAAAGAGCGCGUAGGCGGUCCGAUAAGUCGGCUGUGAAAGUCCAGGGCUCAACCCUGGAAAGCCGGCCGAUACUGUCGGACUAGAGUCCGGAAGAGGCAAGUGGAAUUCCCGGUGUAGCGGUGAAAUGCGCAGAUAUCGGGAGGAACACCAAUUGCGAAGGCAGCUUGCUGGGACGGUACUGACGCUGAGGCGCGAAAGCGUGGGGAGCAAACAGGAUUAGAUACCCUGGUAGUCCACGCCGUAAACGAUGGGCACUAGGUGUGGGAGGUGUCGACUCCUCCCGUGCCGCAGCUAACGCAUUAAGUGCCCCGCCUGGGGAGUACGGCCGCAAGGCUAAA